GCCACGCCCCCUCCCCGGAACCGGCUGCCGGUGUGCAGGAGCUGCUGUGAGCCGAGGGAGGAGCGGAGGCGUCGCCGGGCUGCGGCUGCACGGAGGGAGAAGGCCGCGCUGAGGACGUGGUUGCCCGUCCCUCCCUUGGGGAUGCCGUCGACUGCACCCGCCUCGCCUGUGCCUGGCCUGGCUCGCCUCGUGGCGUGGGGGCGAAAAGGGACAGGCGGCGGAGCGCUUACCGGCCGUGGACAGGAGCUGCCCUAAGGGAAGCUGGAAUGGCCAGAGAAAGGUGAAGAAGAAGAAGAAGAAGAAGAAGAGAUGGAAGGCUCUCCGGCCGGCAGCUGCCUCCCGCUGCAGGCAAGAGAGCGCCUGCCUCGCCGCGCGGAGGACAGCCGAGCGACCGGAGUGACAGCAAAGGAAAGGCGGAGAGCAGGAGAAAGAAGCGUCUGCGCUGGCAAGCUCUCCCGGCAGCGCCGAGAGCCAGAGCUGCGGUGCUGCUGCGCCGAUGCUCCGUACGUUCGCAGUAACGGGUAGAGCGGAAGGCUCCGUGGCCAGGGAAGAGCGGCACGGACACGUUCCUGCUCGCUCCGUUGCACCGGAAUUUCGACGGCUGGGUUCGGCCGCUAAAUUGAUGGCGCUACCGGAAGAAAUUUCAGAAAAGCCGCGCUGAGGACGUGGUUGCCCGUCCCUCCCUUGGGGAUGCCGUCGACUGCACCCGCCUCGCCUGUGCCUGGCCUGGCUCGCCUCGUGGCGUGGGGGCGAAAAGGGACAGGCGGCGGAGCGCUUACCGGCCGUGGACAGGAGCUGCCCUAAGGGAAGCUGGAAUGGCCAGAGAAAGGUGAAGAAGAAGAAGAAGAAGAAGAGAUGGAAGGCUCUCCGGCCGGCAGCUGCCUCCCGCUGCAGGCAAGAGAGCGCCUGCCUCGCCGCGCGGAGGACAGCCGAGCGACCGGAGUGACAGCAAAGGAAAGGCGGAGAGCAGGAGAAAGAAGCGUCUGCGCUGGCAAGCUCUCCCGGCAGCGCCGAGAGCCAGAGCUGCGGUGCUGCUGCGCCGAUGCUCCGUACGUUCGCAGUAACGGGUAGAGCGGAAGGCUCCGUGGCCAGGGAAGAGCGGCACGGACACGUUCCUGCUCGCUCCGUUGCACCGGAAUUUCGACGGCUGGGUUCGGCCGCUAAAUUGAUGGCGCUACCGGAAGAAAUUUCAGAAAAGCCGCGCUGAGGACGUGGUUGCCCGUCCCUCCCUUGGGGAUGCCGUCGACUGCACCCGCCUCGCCUGUGCCUGGCCUGGCUCGCCUCGUGGCGUGGGGGCGAAAAGGGACAGGCGGCGGAGCGCUUACCGGCCGUGGACAGGAGCUGCCCUAAGGGAAGCUGGAAUGGCCAGAGAAAGGUGAAGAAGAAGAAGAAGAAGAAGAGAUGGAAGGCUCUCCGGCCGGCAGCUGCCUCCCGCUGCAGGCAAGAGAGCGCCUGCCUCGCCGCGCGGAGGACAGCCGAGCGACCGGAGUGACAGCAAAGGAAAGGCGGAGAGCAGGAGAAAGAAGCGUCUGCGCUGGCAAGCUCUCCCGGCAGCGCCGAGAGCCAGAGCUGCGGUGCUGCUGCGCCGAUGCUCCGUACGUUCGCAGUAACGGGUAGAGCGGAAGGCUCCGUGGCCAGGGAAGAGCGGCACGGACACGUUCCUGCUCGCUCCGUUGCACCGGAAUUUCGACGGCUGGGUUCGGCCGCUAAAUUGAUGGCGCUACCGGAAGAAAUUUCAGAAAAAAAGGGUGGCUUUUUCGUCGAUCUCUUUGUGAGAGUAUCAAAUCAGGCGGCGGUAAAUACGUAGAAGCAACUAGGCGUACUACGGCGUGUACCGGACAGCGUUGGCGUGCCGCUCUGCUAGCAGCGGAGAGCCAGAUGAGGAUGCCCGUGGUAAGUACUCGUUCUGCCUCCGGCUGAACGGAAAGAUUCUCAUGUUGAGGGUUCCUGGGCUUGUCUGUGUGAUUAGCAUUACUUUUUUUUUUUUUUUUUUUUUUUUUUUAUAUGAAACAGGGUCAGAUAAGUGUUGAUGAGUGGGACUUUGCGUACUCCUUUAGGUAGUUUUUCGUACUGAACCUUAGAUCGGUUACAAAACUUAAUCUUUGUGCAGUUUACACAUUUUGUAGCAACUACAAAGACAUUUAUCCUGUAGGUAAGCUGAAAAUAAAAAUGCGGUU